ACAAAAGAAGAGAUCUGAAAUUUAAGAACAAACCGUGAGAGAGAAGGGAGGAAGAAGAAGAAGAAGAGAAAAGAGGGGAAAAUAAGGGAAAAAGAAAAAGAAGUUGGAGGAAAUAAGUUUAAAGAUAAUCCUGAUAUUCUACCGGCGGGACGUCAGUAGGAUUUUCUUCGAUAUCAGCUUUGAGUUUUGUUGCUUUCGAGUCAGUUUGGGUUCGCAUAGGUAUGGAAUCUUGGAGGGGAACCUUGCCUAUGUGCCGGUCAUGGAUCCGGGACUCGGGUCGUGACACAUUGCUAACAGUAAAACAGUCCAGGCAGUCUGCUUGCAUCGCAGUUCUGACAAGCCGAGCUGAUUAACAAUAGAUGACUUGAUUGAUGAGUGCAAGAGUUUAUACAUUGCAGGACAAGAGACAAGAAGUGCACUUGCCCCUCACUUGUUGUCCAUGAAAGUCACUUUAUAACCAUCCAUUCCACCCGUCAUUUCCUCCUCCUCUCUUUUCUUUAUCAUCUUUAUAAUGCUUUUUAUUAUGCUUUGGUCAAGUUUCUCUGCUUCAAUAUCAUCGUGUCUUAAAGUAUUUUCUGCAUAAAACAAUAAAAAGUAAACGUGUGAAAGAUGCAGCCCAAUUUGUCUAUAGAAUAAUUGGAGAGACAAUAAGCUUCACCUGAUUCCUGGAAUUCUUAUUUCAUAAAGGUUUCUGCAUCCAAAAGCUGUCCUGGAAAUUAUUUCCGAUGUCAAAACUUUAAAGUCCUGGAAUACCGCAAUCUCCCUAUCGUCAUGAUUUUUCCGUCUUUCAAGCUUCACCUCCACACUCGAAAUCAAUUUUGGAAUCGUUUCCUAUAAAGAACAAAAAUAUUGUCAGUUAUUAGAAGAAGCUCUUCGACAUACCUAAAUUUCACCUCUAGUUGUUAAAAUAAACUAUUAAACUGUUGAAUAAUUAACACCUUUGCAUGAGUAUAUAAAUGUUGACAUAAAACUAGGUAAAUAUGUUUGAUGGACACUUGAGAAGCAACUAUCCACAGUAACAAAUUCAAGAAACUACUUUCAAGCUCUCUCCAUGGAAAACCUGAUUGACCAAUUGGCGCAGCUUAAACCGUUUUUCACCUCUAGUUGUCACAAUUCCAUCCCCAAACAGCUUCGUUAUACAAGGUCUGGGCUCAGCUUUGAGGUAAUUUCCAUCUCUAUUGUUCAAUAUCUCUUUAAUCUGUUCAUGUUCAGGAACUACCAAUUGUGCUUCACUACCUUUCCAUCAAAUGAAAUUCUCUUUACAAACCAUGUUUACAUGGUUAACAAAAUUAGUUAUUUGCAUGCAAGAAGCUUUCAAUCAAGAAGAGAGUUUUAAAUUUUAACAAACAUAUAUAUAUGGUUAAUAGUUAUAACAGUUACCAUGUAUCUUUAUUCAUAAAUAAAUGUGAGGUUGAACUCUAGGGAAUGGUUGAUGGCAUAAUUCCAUCUCUUAAGUUGAAGACCCCUUCAAAAUUUACCUGAAGGAAUCUGUAAGAAGGGCCUCUUACUCCUUGCGCAUGCAAGCUAGAAUUUAUGCAGAUUGGAGUCCACCAUACUUGGUUCAUGAACUUGAUGACAAGCGAAGGAAUGUAGAGCCAUACACAGCUUGUAAGGAAGAUAAUCGUUGUUCGCAUGGCCACCACUGCCAUGAUUUAUCGAGUAUGUACAGGUUUAGUAUUUUCAGAAUUUUUUAUAUCAGUGAGUUACAGAAUAGUGUUUGAAGCUUCGGAAUUUUGUCAAAUCAGACAAACUGGCCUUCUAAUAAAAUAAUCAUCAUAGACAAUGUCAUUAACAUAAAAAAAAAUCACACAAGUUUGAUAUAAGAUUGAUUGUUUGCCUGGAAGUUUCUGUCUAAUCAGGAUUGCAUAGGUUAGUGUUGCUUGUCGUAUCCCCACAUGAUA